CCAUAACUGAAUCUCCAAUUACGUUCCGAACAAUUAAUGGCGGAGAUCAACCACCGAAUCGAUUGUUUUCUUUUCUUUCAAUUAGGGUUUCUUAUUCAAUGAUGACACCAGAAACAUCUAACCCUCCAAAAUGAACAUUCACAGUUAUAAUCUGAGGAUGCAAUCAUGUAGAAACACCAUUGGUGUUUUGCGUGGGUAUAGGUGUUUUUGGGAAAUAAUCAUUUUUGGAACAAUUGCCUCGAAAGAAAAUGUUAAAGGCAUCCAGAAGAAGUGUGAAAAAUUCCUCUGAAAAUUACUAAAGGCACCCACGUUUUGGAUAGGGGCGACCAUUCUUCUUCGCCUUUGAACGGAAUUUUGGUGGGAGAAAUAUAUCUUCACCUGCGAGUUUUCUGAAUCUGAACUUGAAGAGUUUUUAUGGGAGUUUCUCAUUGGGUUGGACUAGUAUUGACUCAUUGCAUCAAAUCAGGAUUAUUCACGUAACAAAGGGAAUAUAUUCAAGGAUUGACGCAAAUCAGGGAGAGGAAAUAUUCACGGUAAUUUCUGUGUAUAAGGAAGUUUCGUGGGACCGAGGAAAGAAUCUUUUCUGCGAUAUUUGUUGCUAUCACAGAGAGAGUUUUGGAAAGAAUCAUACAACUCAUAUA